GAUGAACGCUAGCGGCAGGCUUAAUACAUGCAAGUCGAACGGUAAGCUUGGUAGCAAUACUAAGUCAAGAGUGACGUACGGGUGCGUAACACGUAUGCAACCUACCUUGUACAGGAGGAUAGCUCGGGGAAACUCGAAUUAACCCUCCAUAAUAUAUUUGAAUGGCAUCAUUUGAAUAUUAAAACCUUGGUGGUACAAGAUGGGCAUGCGUCUGAUUAGUUAGUUGGAGUGUAAUGGACUACCAAGACGAUGAUCAGUAGGGGACCUGAGAGGGUGA
rnacentral:rRNA from 1 species